CACCCCUCAAACUUAGGUUUGAUGUUGGGCAUUGCUGUAAGGGCAUGCCUAAAAAUUAGCGAUGGUAACCUUCAACCACAGGCGCACAAAUGUCGCAAUGUUGGAAGUUGGGGGCCAGUCUUUAACAAAAUUUUCUAAA
rnacentral:misc_RNA from 1 species